rnacentral:rRNA from 1 species
UACGUAGGGAGCGAGCGUUAUCCGGAUUUAUUGGGUGUAAAGGGUGCGUAGACGGGUUAGCAAGUUAGUUGUGAAAUCCCUCGGCUUAACUGAGGAACUGCAACUAAAACUGCCAAUCUUGAGUGCAGGAGAGGUAAGUGGAAUUCCUAGUGUAGCGGUGAAAUGCGUAGAUAUUAGGAGGAACACCAGUGGCGAAGGCGACUUACUGGACUGUAACUGACGUUGAGGCACGAAAGUGUGGGGAGCAAACA